ensembl:snoRNA
AAGCAGUACUCUGUGGCAGAUUAUCAAAAUAGUCUGGCACAAUUUGAGCUUGCUACAACAAGAAAAUGUAACCUAUUCCAGUGCUCUCACCUCUGUGACCCAAGGCGUUACCUAGACUUAAACUGU